CCCUUAGACGUUCUGGGCCGCACGCGCGCUACACUGACCAGUGCAACAAGCAUCCGUCCUUGGCCGACAGACCCGGGCAAUCUUUGAACGCUGGUCGUGAUGGGGAUAGACUUUUGCAAUUUUUGGUCUUCAACGAGGAAUUCCUAGUAAACGCAAGUCAUCAACUUGCAUUGAUUACGUCCCUGCCCUUUGUACACACCGCCCGUCGCACCUACCGAUUGAAUGGUCCGGUGAAGCCUCCGGAUUGGCGCGCACCUCGGUGCCGCCGAGAAGUUGGCUAAACCUUACCAUUUAGAGGAAGGUGAANUCGUANCA
rnacentral:rRNA from 1 species